AGAGUUUGAUCAUGGCUCAGGACGAACGCUGGCGGCGCGCCUAACACAUGCAAGUCGAACGAGCGAGAGAGAGCUUGCUUUCUCAAGCGAGUGGCGAACGGGUGAGUAACGCGUGAGGAACCUGCCUCAAAGAGGGGGACAACAGUUGGAAACGACUGCUAAUACCGCAUAAGCCCACAGGUCGGCAUCGACCAGAGGGAAAAGGAGCAAUCCGCUUUGAGAUGGCCUCGCGUCCGAUUAGCUAGUUGGUGAGGUAAUGGCCACCAAGGCGACGAUCGGUAGCCGGACUGAGAGGUUGAACGGCCACAUUGGGACUGAGACACGGCCCAGACUCCUACGGGAGCGA
rnacentral:rRNA from 1 species